AGCCUAUGGUGAGGUCACAUUCUCAAAAGGUCCUUAUAUCUCUCCCAUGCAUCGUAGAGUGUUUCUAAAUCCAUCUGUACAAAAGAAGACAUAUCAUUACGUAAUUU
rfam:Gossypium arboreum cultivar AKA8401 contig_33754_7, whole genome shotgun sequence.